AGUUCACAUAGACCAGGCUUCCUCUUUAGAGGCAUAAGCUGUAAAACAGGAGAGUCUGUUUUAAGAGGAUCUGUUUGAAGUUUAAUGUAACUGAAGUCCAUGCACCUGAAGCCAUUAAUUGAUAUAAGUGAAGUAAGUCUUUGGGUUUCCGGUAGCUCUGACUCAGAUUCUGCUUGCCUCUUCUCCAUGAGAUUACCAAGGCAUCAGGGCAGAGACUCCCUGAGGAUGAGUGGAUCUGGUUCAGAACAUCUGUGAACACAGAGGGAGUGGAAACUUCACUUUCAACAUCAUCAGCCAACUUCCCUCCCAUUACAAUUCUAUCUCAAGAUCAAGGUCAUGCAACAAAACCAGCAGGUGUGAUUCUUUCUCUCCGAUCAACUCACUUUGUUUUUUCUAUUUUUAUGCUCUCUUGAGCACUGUAUAAUUAACUUCCAUAAUGGCUCUAAAACUACUAGGUAAACAUAUUUAACAAGCUUCUAUCCAUAUUGAUAGAGAGGAAAUAUGUUAACUAUCAGAUGUCAGAGAGGAAAUAUGUUAAUGAUCCUGGGAUAUACACCAAUACUAAUGGAUUAUUGGUAGAAAUAUCAAUUGACUGCCCUGCAGAUUCUAAGCCAACUUUGGCCACUUCUUCUUUGAAGGAAAUGAUGACAGUGAUAAAAAAAAAAAAAAAAAAAAAAAAAAAGCAGCAAGCUCCUGCAGGCAUUCCUGAGAAAUUCAGAGGGAUUUCCUGUACUCUGCAAAGACCAUGACACAAUGUGGCCAUAAUCCUAACUCUCAUGCUGCUGCUGAAAGUGGAAGCAGAAGGAUACAAACAAACCAAACCCUUGGUUCAAGCAACAAGCAUUUAUUGAAUACCUGCUGUGUGCCAGAACUAGUCUAGGCACGUUGAAGGCAAUUGAUGCAGGACUUCCAAUAGCUUCCCAUCUCACUCAAAGUAAAGGCCAAAGACAUUACAGGGACCUAGAAAGAUCUUUCCUCCACUUCACUCCACUCUAGCCACAAUGAUGUCCAUUCUGUUCUUCCAAUACACUGUGCAUAGUAUCUCCUGAAAACCUUAUCUCACAUGGUUCUCUCCACCUAGGAAGCUCCAAUCCCAGAUACCUGCAUGGCUUGACCUCUCUUUCCAACCAAUCUUUACCCAAAUACAGCCUCCUCAGAGAGGUCUUCCUGAGCCACAUUUGCAAAGUUAAAUCACCCCUAUGCAGUUCCUAAUCUAUUUCUUUGCUUUACUUCCUUCCUUAACACUUGUCAUUCUCUCACAUAGUAUAUAUCUCACCCAUUAUAAUCUGUCUCUAUAAUUAGACUAUAAAAUUUAGGUAAGUGGGGCUUUGGGGUUUUGUUUUGUUCACUGCUAAAUCCCAAAAAAAGAGCCUUGCACAUAAUAGCCAUUUAAUAAAUAUUUUUGCAUUAAUUGACUAAUAAAAUUUGUUACAAGGUUGGUA
ensembl:lncRNA novel transcript